UACGAAGGGGGCAAGCGUUGUCCGGAAUCAUUGGGCGUAAAGAGCGUGUAGGUGGCUCGGUAAGUCCGCUGUGAAAGUCCAGGGCUCAACCCUGGAAAGCCGGUGGAAACUGUCGAGCUCGAGUCCGGAAGAGGCGAGUGGAAUUCCUGGUGUAGCGGUGAAAUGCGCAGAUAUCAGGAGGAACACCAAUGGCGAAGGCAGCUCGCUGGGACGGUACUGACACUGAGACGCGAAAGCGUGGGGAGCAAACAGG
rnacentral:rRNA from 1 species